rnacentral:tRNA from 1 species
UGACUCAGUGGUAGAGUGCUUGCCUAGCAGGCAGUGAGACUCUGGGUUCAAUCCCCAG